rnacentral:lncRNA from 1 species
CAAUGUUCCCAAAGGAUAUUUAUGAAGUAACUAAGGGAGAAACAAAUAUAAGAAAAACAGAAAAGCAUGGGAAUAACUGGAGAUGAAGAAACAAUUAUGGAAAGGUCAACAAUUUUCCAGAUGUGGAUUGAAGACCCUAUAACAUCUCUGACACUCUUUAAAGAGAAAUGUCAUUCCUCAAAAAAAAGUGUAAACAGACACUGAGAUGAAAAAAUUUGAGAACUGCUGAGAGAACCAGAGGAGCAGUGAUUCAUGGUCACAGAAGCAGUAAGUAGGAAAAGUCAUCGAUCUCAUGUUCUGAUCCUAUUUUGUCUUAAGGAUCUUAUAUUUUAGAUAUCAGGGUACAAUUUUUGCUGAUUCACUUGUUCUUAACUUCCAAAAAUAUUUUGUAUUAUUGACACUGACAAAGGAAAACUGAUUAAUUGACAGAAAUAUCUGUAAGAGAUAAUCAGAAUUGUGAAAUGAUAAAUCAUUAAUUUGCUGGGACUGUUGAGUUGAGGACAAUUACAUUGUAGAUAGUUUAAGGAGUGUACCAAGAUUAUACUGAAAAGGAGAA